AGCGGGGUGGAGAAGUGGUAUCUCGGGAGGCUCAUAACCUCCAGACCCCGGUUCAAGUCCGGGCCCCGCAACAA
rnacentral:tRNA from 1 species